AUGGGCAACUCCGGCAGCACAGCUCCCGCACCGCUAGGGAAGACCCAUGUUCCAGAUUUAGAAUGGAAGGUUCAUGACUUCUCAGCUCUACUUGAGACGAAAGCUGCCUCGGCGCUGUCUACUCCUUUUCACUGCUUUGGGUACAAGUGGUGCCUGCAAGUGACUCCAAAGCACAAACAAGAUGAUAAAGGGAAUCCAUGUGUUGCUCUUUCUCUUAUGAUACUCCAGGGGUGUUUGGAGCCAGGUCACACGGUGCAUGCAAAGUUUAAGUUGUCAAUAUUCAACCAUUCAAAAGGAAUGUAUUGUGGAUACAAAGCUAGCUACAACUUCGAUGUCAAGGAUGCCUACUCGAACAAGAAAUGCUUGAUUCCUCUCCAGGAGCUACUAAAAUCAUCUGCUUUUCUAGUUGAUGAUACUUGUGUCUUCGGUGUGGAAAUAUUAAAAGUUGAUGUCUCUUCUCCUAAAAGGAAGUCCGUUGUGGUUCAGAAGAAGGCUACCACAGUUGAGAACCUCUUUGUCCAGAAGAAGGGAUUCAUCAAAGGGACAUACACUUGGACCAUGAACAAUUUCCUAGAAUUGGACUCUCAGCAAUCUGUCCGUUCUCCGACAUUUGAAGUUGGUGGGCAUAAAUGGAACAUCGGCAUGUAUCCGCGUGGUGACAAGCGCUGCCCUGAUUGCCUCACCUUGGCUUUGUACCUGGACUCCUCGGAUGAGCUCUUUCUUGAGUCCAGAAAGGUGGUUAAAAUAACUCUGUCCAUCCUGGACCAAAAGAGUGGGAAAUACUUCACUAGAACUACAGGUUCAGCUCUCCCUAGCAACUAUCAGUGCAAUGGUUGGGGAUGGUACAACUUCUUGCCACUCAAGGAACUCCACGAUAUGUCCAGAGGCUAUCUUAUGGAAUCGAAGUGCGUCCUCAAGGCAGAUAUCACUAUCUUUGGAUCAUCCAAUGACGGCUAG
rnacentral:rRNA from 1 species